AACAGGAUUAGAUACCCUGGUAGUCCACGCCCUAAACGAUGUCUACUAGUCGUCGGGUCUUAAUUGACUUGGUAACGCAGCUAACGCGUGAAGUAGACCGCCUGGGGAGUACGGUCGCAAGAUUAAAACUCAAAGGAAUUGACGGGGACCCGCACAAGCGGUGGAUGAUGUGGAUUAAUUCGAUGCAACGCGAAAAACCUUACCUACCCUUGACAUGUCUGGAAUCCUUAAGAGAUUAGGGAGUGCUCGAAAGAGAGCCAGAACACAGGUGCUGCAUGGCUGUCGUCAGCUCGUGUCGUGAGAUGUUGGGUUAAGUCCCGCAACGAGCGCAACCCUUGUCAUUAGUUGCUACGAAAGGGCACUCUAAUGAGACUGCCGGUGACAAACCGGAGGAAGGUGGGGAUGACGUCAAGUCCUCAUGGCCCUUAUGGGUAGGGCUUCACACGUCAUACAAUGGUACAUACAGAGGGCCGCCAACCCGCGAGGGGGAGCUAAUCCCAGAAAGUGUAUCGUAGUCCGGAUUGGAGUCUGCAACUCGACUCCAUGAAGUUGGAAUCGCUAGUAAUCGCGGAUCAGCAUGUCGCGGUGAAUACGUUCCCGGGUCUUGUACACACCGCCCGUCACACCAUGGGAGCGGGUUUUACCAGAAGUAGGUAGCUUAACCGCAAGGAGGGCGCUUACCACGGUAGGAUUCGUGACUGGGGUGAAGUCGUAACAAGGUAACC
rnacentral:rRNA from 1 species